rnacentral:misc_RNA from 1 species
GAUGAAGAACGCAGCGAAAUGCGAUAAGUAAUGUGAAUUGCAGAAUUCAGUGAAUCAUCGAAUCUUUGAACGCACAUUGCGCCCGCUAGUAUUCUGGCGGGCAUGCCUGUCCGAGCGUCAUUUCAACCCUCAAGCCCCUCCGGGGGCCUGGCGUUGGGGAUCGGCCCGCUCCGGCGGCCGGCCCCGAAAUGUAGUGGCGGUCUCGCCGCUGCCUCCUCUGCGUAGUAGAAACACCUCGCAUUGGGACGCGGCGGGCCCACGCCGUUAACCAGAUGAAUUUUUUCAAGGUUGACCUCGGAUCAGGUAGGAAUACCCGCUGAACUUAAGCAUAUCAAUAAGCGGAGGA